UAUCCUUCAAUCGGCAACGGCGGUGCAUCCUUUUCUUCGCGACGGUGACGGUAGUAUCAUCUCCGUCUCCGAUCAAACACUCAAAUCUCCAUCUUAAUCGAUCCUCUCUCUCGGCUCGUUUCACUCGCAACUCCCUCUCGAUUCGCCUCCUCAUCUCAUUUGCCUCUCUUAACCAUCCUUCAAACGUGAAUCUGAUCAACAAUAAGAAACGAAUUCCGACGGUGUUUCAACGGUCACCGGACGUCGCGUUGAAACUCAGAUUGUUGUGUUUACGUGAUGUUGUUGAAUGAAGCGUGAAGAUGAUGAUUGUUGCGUUGAAGUUGAAUUUGACGAGGAAGAUUGAAGCAUUGAUUAUGGCGAUUGAAGGAACGCGGAGUGAAGAUUGAAAGAUUGAAGAGGAUUCAAGGUUUGCCGCGAUGUGAGAUUUCUGGUUUGUCUUUGUGUGAUGAAGGUUCAAGAUUGGAUGAGCAAGUCGAUUCAAGAAUUUUGGAUUGAGGAAAGUCUGUUACACGGUUCAUCAGCACUCGAAUUGGUUAAAUCAUGAAGAAGAUUGUUGAACUGAGAGAAGAUUAUCGUGAAAAUGUCAUGGCAAGAGAGAGUUCAGAAUGUGAGAUGAAGAGAGGGAGA